CACGAAUCAGGUGGGAAGACGUAGAACUUCAGAUGACAGGAGCACGCUCGUCAUGACAACAAUGAGGGAUGUGUUUGGACCGUAGAGUCAACAGGCGCAAGGCUUUGGGACGUGUGGACUACAUUUACUGGCGUGAUGGACAUCUGCUGCGGACAGACAGAUGCAGUAUCCCCGAGUUAGAGGAGAUCAUGAUCACACACUUGAAGCUGAGGAUCACCAUCAAAUGAAAUUGUAUCCCACGAAUCCAGCCACUACGAUAAGGAUGAUGAGCCCCAGGACGCCGAUGCCCAUCCCAGCCUGAUGAGCCGGGUGGAAGGAUGGAGGUGGAGGUGGAGGCGCUUUCAGUGGGCCCUGCAGAACGUGGAUCACCCCGUUGGAUGCAAAAAUGUUGGAGUCUAUGACAUACCGGUCAUUGAUGUAUCCUGAGGAGGUCUGAGAAGAUUGAGACAAGCAGUGUUUGUCAAUGUGAGUCAAAUGUGUUGACAUAAUGGAAGCGAUUUGCAGAUAUUCUCACCAUUUUUUGAGGGUUUUGGAGGUCAGGCACACCGGUGAUGGUCAGACUGGAGCCCAGUCGUGUUCGGACAUGAGUGACAUUAAUAAGGGCCUGCAGUAUUAAAGCCCUCCCAUCCAGUAGAUGGUGCUCUAUGUCUCUGCCACUUAAAGUCUGGUCAACACAUAAGACAAAUAAUUUUAAUUCAAAAAAUAUGCAAGAAAAAAUUGUUCACAGUUGUGACCGGUGGGAUUAAAUGGGUUAAGACUUUAUUCUAGUAAACCUUUAAAUCUGCAGCUUUGUGAAUAAGUUGUAAAAGAAACUCUUAGCUUAAAACUUUUUCUGAUGUUGAGGAGAAGAUAAAAGAUUCUGUGAAUACGGGGCCUGAUUCACAACCUGUUUUCAGGAACCUGUGUGUAUUUGAUAAGAGAGACGUGUAAAAUGUGGAGAUCUGUUGGUCCCCAGGACUGGAGUACUAAAACAGACAUCAGUGUAGAUCCAUUCCAACAGAAGUCAUCUAAUAAGAAAAAAACAGGAGGUUAUUUAACAAAUAUUGCAUUCAUUUGUGUGUGUUCAGUGAAUAAAACAAACACAUUUUCUCCUCA